AACGAACGCUGGCGGCAUGCCUAGCACAUGCAAGUCGAACGAGACCUUCGGGUCUAGUGGCGCACGGGUGCGUAACGCGUGGGAACCUGCCCUUAGGUUCGGAAUAACUCCCCGAAAGGGGUGCUAAUACCGGAUAAUGUCUUCGGACCAAAGAUUUAUCGCCUUUGGAUGGGCCCGCGUUGGAUUAGCUAGUUGGUAGGGUAAAAGCCUACCAAGGCGACGAUCCAUAGCUGGUCUGAGAGGAUGAUCAGCCACACUGGGACUGAGACACGGCCCAGACUCCUACGGGAGGCAGCAGUGGGGAAUAUUGGACAAUGGGCGAAAGCCUGAUCCAGCAAUGCCGCGUGAGUGAUGAAGGCCUUAGGGUUGUAAAGCGCUUUUACCCGGGAUGAUAAUGACAGUACCGGGAGAAUAAGCUCCGGCUAACUCCGUG
rnacentral:rRNA from 1 species